CAGCCGCCGCGGUAAUACGUAGGGUGCGAGCGUUAAUCGGAUUUACUGGGCGUAAAGCGUGCGCAGGCGGCCCGUUAAGACAGGUGUGAAAUCCCUGGGCUCAACCUAGGAAUUGCGCUUGUGACUGGCGGGCUCGAGUACGGUAGAGGGGGGUGGAAUUCCUGGUGUAGCAGUGAAAUGCGUAGAGAUCAGGAGGAACACCGAUGGCGAAGGCAGCCCCCUGGGCCUGUACUGACGCUCAUGCACGAAAGCGUGGGGAGCAAACAGGAUUAGAUACCCUGGUAGUCCACGCCCUAAACGAUGGGUACUAGCCGUUUGGUGCGCGAGAGCGCUGAGUGGCGAAGCUAACGCGUGAAGUACCCCGCCUGGGGAGUACGGCCGCAAGGUUGAAACUUAAAGGAAUUGGCGGG
rnacentral:rRNA from 1 species